GAAAAAAAAAACUUUGUUGCCAAAAGGUUGUGCUAUCCCAAUUUUUUAUAUGUCUGCAUGUUUGAAAACACAAAAAAAAAAAAAAAAAACAAAAGAAAAUGCACUCUAACUUAUGUGAACUGAGAGAAAAAAAAUCAGGUUUUAAAAAGGAAAAACCCAUGGGGAAUGAUAUUUUUUGAAAGACUUUUGUAUACAGUUGAGUACUUAGAAAAAGACGAACCAGAUGUAAUAUAUUUUGUGGAUGUUUUUAUUUCUUGGAUUUAUAGUACCUUAUACUAAGGUUAAAAAAAUGCUUGAUAUUGUGAAAAGGUGAGAUUCUUCACCAACAUUUCAUUUACUUCUUGUCACAUUGUUAUGCCAAUAUAAUAUAGUUAAUGAAAACAGCAUUUUUAAAAGCAAUUAUUGAAACGGUGUAAUGUUGUACCAUUUGCCCUGUGAGCAAAUGCGAAUACAGUAAAUAUAUUGUGUUUGCUGACAA
rnacentral:lncRNA from 14 species